CUCUACAGGUUGUCGGGAGAAGAGCAGCAACAAUUAACUUUCCUCCCUUCACUGAGCCGGUCCCUGUACGCCCUCUUCCCACUGCAGACAGCCAGUCGGCAGCAGCGGCACGUGACCAACUCACUCCUCCCCGCUGACCUGCAAGCACCACACCUGCCAGGUCCAUCUUGGCCCACAGGCUUGGCCCACCACGCUCUGGACUCUGAUGACAUGCGGGUGAGGAGGCUGACUCAAGUAGAAACAGCGCAACACUGAAACCCAUUUGGCAUUGGACCCCCCACUUCCAGACCCUUCCACCAAGCUCCCACUGCUUCCUGAUGAAGUCUAACCCUGCACACUGUAUUCAAGAGCAUCCCUGAGUGGGGCCCAGCCAGCUGGCCUGCCUGCUGCUGCAGCCUCACCACCCAUGCACCUGGCCCCCAGCAUGCAUCGGGGCACACACCCAGUCAUUUGCUGCUCAGAGAGAGUGCCAGGCUGUUUUGUGCCUCGUGCUGACACCAGCUCUGUCUGGCUUCCCUUCUUUCCCACUCAACAGUCACUCACUCCUCCCCGAUGCCAAGGUGCACACAUCACUCCUGAACUCUUUCUUGCAGGAGCUGACCCACUCAUGCCUCCUUUGACUUCCACCAUAAUUCACAUCUAACCUGCCACAGUCCUGACCACACCACCGCAGUCACCUGGCACGUUUGCCUUAUCUGCUAAACCAGGAGCUCUGAGGGGCAAUGAGCUACUGUGGUCAUUUCUGAACGCCCCAAAAAGGUGUGCAAGAGAGGUCAACUGAAUGAUGGCUCCAUUCCCAUUUCCCUCUGGCUGACAGCUUUGUACCAGGAAAAUGAACAGAGUUCCUUAAUGUCUGGAGACAAUUCUUUACCUUGACUGACUUUGCUCAAAUAAAUCUGACCCACACCUGCCCAUUCCUGAAGUGGCAUGGCUGACAGAAACACCGGUUGAAACUCUACCGACUCAAAACCAUAGGUGGGGGCAAGAAGGCAGGUGUCUGUGCAGUGGGCUAGGCCAGUGGUCGGGAAACGGCGGCUCACGAGCCACAUGCGGCUCUUUGGCCCCUUGAGUGUGGCCACGAAGUUUCAAUUGCACUGUACAUGCGCGCCCGCACAUGGUAUUUUGUGGAAGAGCCACACUCAAGGGGCCGCAGUUUGCCGACCACUGGGCUAGGCAAUGGUACAGGAUACUGCACCCUGGGCAGGAAGAAGGGGAUGUCAACACAUGGGACAGGGACAGCUUGGGGUACGGGAGCCCGUGGGGUGAGGAUGGCACCACAGAGGGCAGUGGAGGCAACGGCGCAGUGGAGGCAGUAGAGCGCAGGUCCCUUGCAGGGCAGUACCUGGCACAGAGGUAGGCAGAGACAGGAAGGGUGAUGGGGUGUCUUGCCAGCACCUGUUCUCAAAUGGUUCAAGAAAAAAAGUUCUUCGUACUGUUUUUUGGGUUUUUUUGCAACUUCUCUGGAAGGUGAGUUGUUCCAAAGCAAACUUUCUGAAAAGCUUUACCUUCCUCGUCGCCGCGCCACUCUUUCUCAGCAUCCUCAUCGGCUUUGCGCUUGUCUGCGCCUCUGGCUGCUUUCUUUUUCAGCGCUUUCUUCUCAGCCCGGGCCCGCUUCCGGUGCUCAGCCUUCUCCUCUUCCUGCUGGGCGAGGGUGGCUUCCUUCUCCGCAGCCUGGAAAAGGGGCAGAUGACGCAUCACUGGACGGAGCAGUGACAUACACUCCACCGCCUUGUAAUGAGAAUGGACGAAAGGGGCCAGGGAGUGGGAUUCAUACCCAGUGACAGGACGAGAUCAUGGAAAAUGUGCUCACAACCUUCCCUGCCAGGGCUUUUCCGGCCUCUCAGGAUUCCUCUCAAAUCCACAGUAUUUCUCACAACAGCCCCAGUAAUUAUUCACCAAGAGAAAGAAAAGAAUCUAAGAAACUGGGGCCCUAAUUGACUUGGGGGUGUUCAUAUUCCAACCACUAGGCUAAGAGGCUCUUCCUGUUUUUUCCUCUAUUCUAGUAAAUUUUAGGGCCAAAAUUCCCCUACUACAUAAAAUAGUAUUUACUGCUGGGGCUAAAGUUUAAAGCUGUUCUAAAAAAUAACAAAAGACUGGUUUAAAUAUUGAUUCAACUAUGUCAUAAUAAAUACUUUCUAAGCAAAAGACACGUUUUAGAAAGACCUCAAAGGUUUGACAAAAAAUAUCGCAAACACGGUCAAAACAGCGAUCAGAGGAUCCCAAGACUUCAUAUAGACAGCAUCAUUACCUUAAUUCUCUGCUCAUUAACACGGGCUAAUCGAGUUUCCGUUUUCUGGACAGCUAUAUCCCAAUCUUCUAAAGUACCUUGAUAGAAAAAGAAGCAAACUUUCCAUUUUGGGGUUUGGGAAGCUUUUCUUAAUUUCCCCACCCUCAGGAGAGCUCUCCCCUCAGAGAGUCAGCUCCCCAUUUCAAGGUGAUUUCACUGAAAGUUUUCGAAUUCCAAUAGUCCUUCCAAGAUGGGAUUAAAACAUCCCUUCAUUUUCAGGAGAGACUUGAGAACCAGAAUAUGACCUAUUACGGGUGCUCCCUGGCAAAGAUUAUGAAAACAUUCCAAUGUAAAAGGUAUAAGACAUGACAGUUGAGCAUCUCAAAUGAUAAAUGUUGAAAUGUUUUGUCA